GCCUUUUUUUCACAAUCUAACUGAAGGUCCAAGAGUGCUUUUAAACUUGAGGCUGCUUUAAACUUGCAGGCUGCUUCUCUUUUUUAUCCUAAAAAAUAAAAUUAACAAAAUUAACACUAAAACUUAAAAAAAGAGUUAAAAUCACUAAACAAAAUUGGGGUUUAUUUCUAGAUCUAGUGACUUUAUUUCAUCCAUAGUUGAUGCAAUAUUAACCACUUAUGCACACUGAAAUUUCUACAUUAAACAAAUCCUAAAUUUGAGCAAAUGAAUAAAUUUGGGGAGGAGGUUUUCACUAGCAACUUUUUGACCAUGGAUAUGUUGUAAAAAUUGGGCCUAUGACAUCAUAUCCAUAAUAAUAAACAACAUAUUAAUUUAUGUAAUUAAACAAAUAUGAAUGAUAAUAAAAUAAAAUAGAGAUUAUAGAACUUAUCUAUGAUUGUUGUAUAUCGUUGUCGGCACUACCGCGAAGUAAGCAACCACCGAGUCUCAAAUAGGGAGAAUAGUAAACCAUGAAAUAAUACCAUAUAUGAAUCGCGACGACUGCUAUGAGAAUUAGGUCACAAAACAUGGUA
rnacentral:lncRNA from 1 species